UACGGAGGGGGCGAGCGUUAUUCGGAAUUAUUGGGCGUAAAGGGCGCGUAGGCGGCGAGGAAAGUCAAAGGUGAAAUCCCUCGGCUCAACCGAGGAACUGCCUUUGAAACUACCUUGCUCGAGGCCGGGAGGGGGUAGCGGAAUUCCCAGUGUAGCGGUGAAAUGCGUAGAUACUGGGAGGAACACCAGUGGCGAAGGCGGCUACCUGGACCGGUUCUGACGCUGAUGCGCGAAAGCGUGGGGAGCAAACAGG
rnacentral:misc_RNA from 1 species